UACAGAGGUCUCAAGCGUUGUUCGGAUUCAUUGGGCGUAAAGGGUGCGUAGGCGGCGCGGUAAGUCGGGUGUGAAAUCUUGGAGCUUAACUCCGAAACUGCAUUCGAUACUGCGGUGCUUGAGGACUGGAGAGGAGACUGGAAUUCAUGGUGUAGCAGUGAAAUGCGUAGAUAUCAAGCGAACACCAGUGGCGAAGGCGAGUCCCUGGACAACUCCUGACACUGAGGCACGAAAGCUAGGGGAGCAAACAGG
rnacentral:rRNA from 1 species